rnacentral:rRNA from 1 species
UACGGAGGGUGCAAGCGUUAAUCGGAAUUACUGGGCGUAAAGCGCACGCAGGCGGUUUGUUAAGUCAGAUGUGAAAUCCCCGGGCUCAACCUGGGAACUGCAUUUGAAACUGGCAGGCUAGAGUCUUGUAGAGGGGGGUAGAAUUCCAGGUGUAGCGGUGAAAUGCGUAGAGAUCUGGAGGAAUACCGGUGGCGAAGGCGGCCCCCUGGACAAAGACUGACGCUCAGGUGCGAAAGCGUGGGGAGCAAACAGG